AGGCAACCGGAGCCCGGGUCGCCGAGGGAGCGGGGCGCGCGGAGCGGGUGGGAGUGGGAAACCCGCGGCGCAGCCAGAAAGUUAAAAACUAUUAAUACAUAUGUGGCUUGGUUCACACCAUCUUUCUCUCGGGUCAGCAGUCUGAAGUGUGAGUUCUUGAUGUGCUUUUGGCCAAAGAAUAACCAGAUACACCAAAAGUAAGAGUUACAAGACUUCUUUAUAUAUGCUGGAUAAAGUCCCAAAUCAGAGAUAAUUUGGGCCUGUUGAGAGGAGAUGUAAAAUUGGACAAAGUUAACCCAGGACAGCGUGAAUGUGUUUACAUAAAUCCAGAUAUGCAUUGUAGAUCGUCAGAUGGUCUGAAUCUGCCAUGGCCAAAGCUGACUUUGCAAGAUCUGCUUCAUCUUUUCGACCAAUUGGUGUGGUAAAAGGAGACUUCUCUGUCAUAACUGCGGCUAGUGUUGCCUAUCCAUAAAUAAGCGAACAAUUUGUCACUGAAGAGGUUAUCACAUAAACCAUCAUGAAAGAGAUUAUUUUUUGAACUUGGGCCCAAUUCUGAAAGAAAUGAAGGACAAAACUCAUCUGCACCUCCCCCUGGGAUUACCAUAAUAUGAAGACAUAAUUCCUCCAAAGGAAAUGGAACCCAGAUUAUUAUUAAGAGCUGCAUGGGACCUACGUGAUCAUUCUACAUCAGUAGCGUUCAAAUUUUAUUGUUAAGGGAUGGAACUCUUCUUUAAAUCAAAUCUUACAGGGAAGCACAAAUGUUACAGAUAAGAGCACAGCCUCAAAAACUCUGGAGUUCUUACAGCACAAUUAGAAAGCCAUCAGUUGUAUCCAAUCCCUUUUAAAGAAAUUUCUGACAAUACUCUGAGUCUUUCUCCAGCACAAAGCCUGUUUCUUCUAUUAUAUCUUCAAGAUGAAAAACCUG